GCUGGAAGUAUCAUCACUGGGGCCACUGCUGUCGUCUGAGGGCCAGUGGCGCAAUGGAUAACGCGUCUGACUACGGAUCAGAAGAUUCCAGGUUCGACUCCUGGCUGGCUCGAAGAUGAGAACCUGGAUAAGGUCUCUCUGGAUAAGUCAUCAACAAACUUCUAGCAAAUGACUGUCCUUACCCUGUUGGAGUAUUUCCAUCCCUUCUCCAGGUAUUUUCACAAGACGUGACGCUUACAGGGCCCGAGAUGAAUCAAAAUGCGGAGCGGGCUCUCCGGCGCCGACUUCCCUUCAGUCUGGGCGGCCAAGGAUUCCCAAGGGCGAGGGCGGCAUCCGCGGCCGGAGGCCGGGGACUGGCCAGAUUGACCCUCCCAGCGCUCCUCCUCCCCGCAGCGUCGCCACAGACCCUCCGAGGCAAACCUGCGCACCAAGUGGCAGCUGAAGUCCCCGAGGCAGUGCCGAGGAGGCUGGGGCGGGCCGGCCCGCGGCGUCAACACCCGGGGACCCCGCCCGCGCCGGGGCUCCGGAACCUCUCACUUGGGCCGAGCCCCCGCACAGGGGCUGGGGGAAGCGAGGCCUGGUAGCACAGCGGGAAAAGGCCAAGGACGGGGAGGAGGCCCAAAGAGCGCGAGAGGUCAUG